CAGCCGCCGCGGUAAUACGUAGGUGGCAAGCGUUGUCCGGGAUUAUUGGGCGUAAAGGGCUCGCAGGCGGUUUCUUAAGUCUGAAGUGAAAGCCCCCGGCUCAACCGGGGAGGGUCAUUGGAAACUGGGAAACUUGAGUGCAGAAGAGGAGAGUGGAGUUCCACGUGUAGCGGUGAAAUGCGUAGAGAUGUGGAGGAACACCAGUGGCGAAGGCGACUCUCUGGUCUGUAACUGACGCUGAGGAGCGAAAGCGUGGGGAGCAAACAGGAUUAGAUACCCGUGUAGUCCCUGUCUCUUAUAC
rnacentral:rRNA from 1 species